rnacentral:rRNA from 1 species
CCUACGGGUGGCAGCAGUGAGGAAUAUUGGUCAAUGGACGCAAGUCUGAACCAGCCAUGCCGCGUGCAGGAAGACGGCUCUAUGAGUUGUAAACUGCUUUUGUACGAGGGUAAAUCCCGAUACGUGUAUCGGGUUGAAAGUAUUGUACGAAUAAGGAUAGGCUAACUCCGUGCCAGCAGCCGCGGGAAGACGGAGGAUUCAAGCGUUAUCCGGAUUUAUUGGGUUUAAAGGGUGCGUAGGCGGUUCGAUAAGUUAGAGGUGAAAUCCCGGGGCUCAACUCCGGAACUGCCUCAGAUACUGUCGGGCUAGAGUUUAGAUGAGGUAGGCGGAACGCAAGGUGUAGCGGUGGAAUGCAUAGAGAU